GACCAAUGGGAGCGCGGCGCGCGCUGGGAAGGCGGGAAUUCGUGAGGGCGUGCACCAAUGGGAGCGCGGAUCUCGCCGAGGGGGCGGGGAUUCCUGAGGCGCGGACCAAUGGGAGAGCGGCGCGCGCGGGCGGCGGCCAAUGGGAGAGCGGGGGGGGAAAUUUGAAGCGGCGGCGGCGACAGCGACGAGCGGCGGGAUGGCACAGAAGGAGAACGUGGCCCCCAGCCUGACCAAGAGUUUGGUCCCUUACCCCCUGCGGGUGCCCCGCAAGGACCCCCCGAAUUCGGAGGCCCCCGGGAAGGGUCUGCCAGGAGCCGGGCGGGUGCCCCUGGAGCCCAGCAUGCUGCCAGCCCCUCCCCC